UGGGGAAUAUUGCACAAUGGGGGAAACCCUGAUGCAGCAACGCCGCGUGAAGGAAGACGGUUUUCGGAUUGUAAACUUCUGUUCUUAGUGAAGAAAAAUGACGGUAGCUAAGGAGCAAGCCACGGCUAACUACGUGCCAGCAGCCGCGGUAAUACGUAGGUGGCAAGCGUUGUCCGGAAUUACUGGGUGUAAAGGGGGCGCAGGCGGGAGAACAAGUCAGUUGUGAAAUCCAUGGGCUUAACCCAUGAACUGCAGUUGAAACUGUUCUUCUUGAGUGAAGUAGAGGUUGGCGGAAUUCCGAGUGUAGCGGUGAAAUGCGUAGAUAUUCGGAGGAACACCGGUGGCGAAGGCGGCCAACUGGGCUUUUACUGACGCUGAGGCCCGAAAGUGUGGGGAGCAAACAGG
rnacentral:rRNA from 1 species